CUCACAAUCUAUCUCCUUUUAGUUUUACACAAUCUCAACCCAAAAUUGUCUCCUACUUUCUUUUUCCCAUCUUUUCUCUUCCGGGUUCCUUUCAAAAUUGCGUUUUUUUAACCCAUUCUCUUUCUCACAAUCUAUCUCCUUUUAGUUUUACACGAUCUCAACCCAAAAUUGUCUCCUACUUUCUCUUUCCCAUCUUUUCUCUUCCGGGUUCCUUUCAAAAUUGUGUUUUUUUAACCCAAUUUUUUCAAUUCAAACCCCCAAACAAAAACCCUAAUUUCCACAUUAAGCGUUUUUUAGACCUUUUCUUUUAAAAUUCUUUUCAUUUGACUCUUCUUCUUGUUCUCUUCAACACCGACAAACCCAUUUUUGUUAUACAAGUGUUUAUGGAGAGAAUACCGCACCCAAUACCCAGAAUUGUGGAGGAAGUUUUCGGCGACUUCAAGGGCAGACGAGCUGGCUUGAUCAAGGCUUUAAUUACUGAUUUUGAGAAGUUUUACCAGCAGUGCGAUCCUGAGACCUGCUGAAAGAUCUUCUGGUGCAAAGCAAGAGCUUAGAAGCUUCAAGUGUUGCCUGUAACCUGUAAGCGUGGUACCUUUUUUGACAUCCAAGUAGUGAAGAAAAUAGUAUAUAUUUUGACAUCUACUUGACAAAGAAAGUGUAGUUAUUUUAUACUAAUGGCUGAUACAUUUUAUAUUUUUUUGUUUAUAUGUUAGUUACAAUUGGAUGUGUUUAUGAUA